rnacentral:lncRNA from 1 species
ACUGGGAGAGGAGAAAUAGAAAACCAAAGGAAAGAUAAAGCACAUAAACAGAGACACUCACUUGUCAAAUGCUGAUUCAGGACUUAGGUUGCUCAUCUAUCAAAUGAAAGCAUUGAACAAAAGGAUACCUAAGGUCUCUUCUAGCUUGAAAUCCUAUGACUCUAAGCCUAAGACGAUAUGUUUCCUGGAGAUUCUAUACUACUUUAAAUUGACGAAGCAUUUUUAAAACGUCGAGAGAAAAAUGGAUCAAGAUCAGAAUUCCUACUUUGGAAGAAAAUGGGAAAAUUGGAACAUGUAAAUGACUUGCCUCAGUUAAUACCAAUGAUGUUAUUAAUAAUAGCAAUAAUAAGAAUGAAUAAAAAUCAGAAGAGUGAAGCCUGUAUUUGAAUU